GCGCCAUUAGCUCAGUUGGUAGAGCACCUGACUCUUAAUCAGGGUGUCCUGGGUUCGAGCCCCCGAUGGCGCACCA
rnacentral:tRNA from 1 species